UCGGGCUUAAAUGAGGUAUUAAUUCGUUUUGAAUUUUAAUUCAAUUUAGCCAAUCUAUUAGAUUUGGCCAUAAUUGAAAUCAAAUUAGCCACAAUUACGAUGCAAUGACCAAUUGAUUUUCUAUUUGACCAAAACUUAAAUAAAUUGGCCAAAUCCAAAAAAAAAAACCAAAAUUUGCCCAACUCCGGGCCCAAUAACCAUUCAGCCAAGCCCACUUCACAAAAUGCUAUCACCAGCCUUUUGUCUCUUUUAAAACAGCCCAAUUCUACACCAAUAGCCCAACACCCAACAAUAAUGACCCGGCCCAAUCCAUUUAUUCCUCUUCAACAUAAUCAACAAUAACAGCCGACAAACAAUGAACAACGUACAAAGCUGAUUCGCAGUAACACCAUUGAAAAUAGCUCCCACCACCGUUUACAGCAAAUAUCAACGACAACAACUCCAAACAACAAAAAACCUAAAAACCUGGGAACCUGACCCAUCAAAAAAAAACCAUCAUCAUUCCAACCGACCCCCUUUUUUCUCGAACCGAAAACCUGGGAACCUGACCCAUCAACAAAUCUGUGCGUAAACAUCAGCUCAACACCAAUCUGUUUCAAAAAUUGUACUAUUUUUGUGCGAUUACAGCUCAUUCUCUUAUCUUUUUUUCAAAUUUCAAAUUUUCCCCUCUUGAAAUCCCCAAACUAACCCCAAAAUUGUUACUACCACAUCGGUGGAAGCACAAAAAGGGAACCUCGAUAGUUUUCUAUAAAACACCAACUUCUAGAGCUAUGAAAUCCAAAUCUUGGAGGUGGAAAACCUUCUGAGCAAAAAUAGUCUCAUUUUUUUAGUAGAAAAUCUUUAUUUUUGUGAAAUUCGUGGCCUAAAUGAAGAUUCCGAGUUGACGAAGAUGUUUUUCGAUGGUGGCUGAUUCCGACAAAGCUCGUGAUCCCAUUUUGCUGCCCCAAAAGAGGUGCAUUCAAGGAGGUCGACAAAAUAAAUACAACAAUCAAAAGAAUCAAUCAAUAGGAGGGAGAGCAGAAAGUCAUCCUCAAAAUUUGCACGGGAGCAAAGCAAACGGUAUUUAAGUAAUCCCUAAACAAAGGUUUUGCCCCAUUUACUUGCAUCCGAUGGACCUGCUAUUUUAUUAUUUCUUCAAAAAGAGAAGACUAAUAGUGGAAUAAGUUAUUCAAAUUAUGAUGCUCAGUAUUAGUCAUUAUCUUGACUGUGGUCGCCAGUGAGAGCGAUAUUUUUUCUA